CUCUUUAUGGGGGGUGACUGCGUACCUUUUGUAUAAUGGGUCAGCGACUUAUAUUCUGUAGCAAGGUUAACCGCAUAGGGGAGCCGAAGGGAAACCGAGUCUUAAUUGGGCGUUAAGUUGCAGGGUAUAGACCCGAAACCCGGUGAUCUAGCCAUGGGCAGGUUGAAGGUUGGGUAACACUAACUGGAGGACCGAACCGACUAAUGUUGAAAAAUUAGCGGAUGACCUGUGGCUGGGGGUGAAAGGCCAAUCAAACCGGGAGAUAGCUGGUUCUCCCCGAAAGCUAUUUAGGUAGCGCCUCGUGAACUCAUCUCCGGGGGUAGAGCACUGUUUCGGCUAGGGGGCCAUCCCGGCUUACCAACCCGAUGCAAACUGCGAAUACCGGAGAAUGUUAUCACGGGAGACACACGGCGGGUGCUAACGUCCGUCGUGAAGAGGGAAACAACCCAGACCGCCAGCUAAGGUCCCAAAGUCAUGGUUAAGUGGGAAACGAUGUGGGAAGGCCCAGACAGCCAGGAUGUUGGCUUAGAAGCAGCCAUCAUUUAAAGAAAGCGUAAUAGCUCACUGGUCGAGUCGGCCUGCGCGGAAGAUGUAACGGGGCUAAACCAUGCACCGAAGCUGCGGCAGCGACACUUUAGUGUUGUUGGGUAGGGGAGCGUUCUGUAAGCCGUUGAAGGUGUCCUGUGAGGGGUGCUGGAGGUAUCAGAAGUGCGAAUGCUGACAUAAGUAACGAUAAAGCGGGUGAAAAGCCCGCUCGCCGGAAGACCAAGGGUUCCUGUCCAACGUUAAUCGGGGCAGGGUGAGUCGACCCCUAAGGCGAGGCCGAAAGGCGUAGUCGAUGGGAAACGGGUUAAUAUUCCCGUACUUGGUGUUACUGCGAAGGGGGGACGGAGAAGGCUAUGUUGGCCGGGCGACGGUUGUCCCGGUUUAAGCGUGUAGGUGUGUGUUCCAGGUAAAUCCGGUUCACUUUAACACUGAGGCGUGAUGACGAGGCACCACGGUGCUGAAGCAACAAAUGCCCUGCUUCCAGGAAAAGCCUCUAAGCAUCAGGUAACAUCAAAUCGUACCCCAAACCGACACAGGUGGUCAGGUAGAGAAUACCAAGGCGCUUGAGAGAACUCGGGUGAAGGAACUAGGCAAAAUGGUGCCGUAACUUCGGGAGAAGGCACGCUGACACGUAGGUGAAGUGAUUUACUCACGGAGCUGAAGUCAGUCGAAGAUACCAGCUGGCUGCAACUGUUUAUUAAAAACACAGCACUGUGCAAACACGAAAGUGGACGUAUACGGUGUGACGCCUGCCCGGUGCCGGAAGGUUAAUUGAUGGGGUCAGCGCAAGCGAAGCUCCUGAUCGAAGCCCCGGUAAACGGCGGCCGUAACUAUAACGGUCCUAAGGUAGCGAAAUUCCUUGUCGGGUAAGUUCCGACCUGCACGAAUGGCGUAAUGAUGGCCAGGCUGUCUCCACCCGAGACUCAGUGAAAUUGAACUCGCUGUGAAGAUGCAGUGUACCCGCGGCAAGACGGAAAGACCCCGUGAACCUUUACUAUAGCUUGACACUGAACAUUGAGCCUUGAUGUGUAGGAUAGGUGGGAGGCUUUGAAGCGUGGACGCCAGUCUGCGUGGAGCCGACCUUGAAAUACCACCCUUUAAUGUUUGAUGUUCUAACGUGGACCCGUAAUCCGGGUUGCGGACAGUGUCUGGUGGGUAGUUUGACUGGGGCGGUCUCCUCCUAAAGAGUAACGGAGGAGCACGAAGGUUGGCUAAUCCUGGUCGGACAUCAGGAGGUUAGUGCAAUGGCAUAAGCCAGCUUGACUGCGAGCGUGACGGCGCGAGCAGGUGCGAAAGCAGGUCAUAGUGAUCCGGUGGUUCUGAAUGGAAGGGCCAUCGCUCAACGGAUAAAAGGUACUCCGGGGAUAACAGGCUGAUACCGCCCAAGAGUUCAUAUCGACGGCGGUGUUUGGCACCUCGAUGUCGGCUCAUCACAUCCUGGGGCUGAAGUAGGUCCCAAGGGUAUGGCUGUUCGCCAUUUAAAGUGGUACGCGAGCUGGGUUUAGAACGUCGUGAGACAGUUCGGUCCCUAUCUGCCGUGGGCGCUGGAAGAUUGAGGGGGGCUGCUCCUAGUACGAGAGGACCGGAGUGGACGCAUCACUGGUGUUCGGGUUGUCAUGCCAAUGGCACUGCCCGGUAGCUAAAUGCGGAAAAGAUAAGUGCUGAAAGCAUCUAAGCACGAAACUUGCCCCGAGAUGAGUCUUCCCUGAGACUUUGAGUCUCCUGAAGGAACGUUAAAGACGAUGACGUUGAUAGGCCGGGUGUGUAAGCGCAGCGAUGCGUUGAGCUAACCGGUACUAAUGAACCGUGAGGCUUAACCUU
rnacentral:rRNA from 1 species